UCUGCCACGCCGCUUCCGCCGGCGGCCCUGCCACACUUCCAGCCUGCGGAUACACCGCCUCCUCCUUCAGCCCCGCCACACUUCCGGUCUUCCGCCACGCCGCUUCCGCUGGCAGCCCUGCCACACUUCCGGCACACGCGCUCGGGAAAGUCAUCGGCGCUCCGCGCCCCGCCCGUCCCGCACAUGCGCAGAGGGCGCGCUGGGCCUCUGGUGAAGAAAGAAAUGAUGGAUUAAAGUGGGGAGAAAAACCCCAAGCUGGAAACUUUUGAGCUGGACUUGUGUGCGGAGCUGCUACCCCUUCGCCACUAGAUGUCACUGUGAGGCAGGAUUUUCAGGAGUUCUCAUUUUGUGCCAGCAUGGCAGAAUAUGUCGCCCACCUCUCCUCGGCCUGGCACGCAGGCAGGCAGCCCCCUCACACCUCUGCCCUCUGCCCUUUGGAGCUCAUGGAUCUGGGAGUUACUGAGCAGGCGCCACCAUUGGAGCAGCCUCCACCAUCCCAGGAUCUGGGCGACGAGGAGGAUAUCGACUCGCCGCUGGAUCCUGACGUGCCCUAUCCUGACUUGGCGCCUGUGGUGUUCUUUUGCUUGAAACAGACCACCAGUCCCCGCAACUGGUGCAUCAAAAUGAGCAGCUCAGCUGUUGCAAUGUGUGAUCAAAAGGAGCUGCUUUACCAAAGGGAGAACUUCAGAGAAAGCGAGUGUCGGCCGGAAUGACACAGAUAGGGACGGGAGGGAAGGAGAAGAGAGAAGACAGACUUUUCAAAAUGUAUUUCCACACCUUCGUGUUACUGAGUCAGUGACAGUGGGAUGGUUUGAAGUUGCAGGGAAAGGGGUACUCCCAGCUCCUGCUGGCUUCUCACUAGGUCUUUAGUUCAAUGAGGGAUAUUUAUUCAUCUAACAGUACUGUACAUACCAUGAACUCAGCCUCUGCUUGGAGACAGAGCUGAAGUUCCUGCUUCUCGGUUGCGGGGCCAUUAGAAUAACUCUCAUACUGCUAGCUAGUGAGCAUAAACUAGCUGCUGAGUGUCUUCUCCUGGGGAUACUCCUCUCUAGAUUCCACCAGGAUCAAAGAUGAGCCUACUCCAGAGAAUCCAUUUCAGGUUUGAUUCUGGGACAGGAAUUUGGGAGUUUAGUGAGUGUUGUGAGGAUACUUCUGUAAUGUAGAUAUGAUCAGCAAAUCUCAUCAUCACACCCCUCACUACUGAAUCUC